rnacentral:lncRNA from 1 species
CGUUUGGAACGAAUGACAGCUGAGAUCGCAAGCUCGCAAACCAAUGCGCCGUAACCACGUUUGCCGGCGCUCGGCAUCCUCAGGAACCCGAUGCAUUUCACUACUGUCACCUUCGCAGCCAGCAACAUCACAUCGUUUGCGUUUCCUCUCGGACAU